UACGAAGGGGGCUAGCGUUGUUCGGAUUUACUGGGCGUAAAGCGCCUGUAGGCGGCUAUUUAAGUCAGAGGUGAAAUCCCAGGGCUCAACCCUUGAACUGCCUUUGAUACUGGAUGUCUUGAGUAUGGAAGAGGUGAGUGGAAUUCCGAGUGUAGAGGUCAAAUUCGUAGAUAUUCGGAGGAACACCAGUGGCGAAGGCGGCUCACUGGUCCAUUACUGACGCUGAGGUGCGAAAGCGUGGGGAGCAAACA
rnacentral:rRNA from 1 species